rnacentral:rRNA from 1 species
AGCGAACGCUGGCGGCAGGCUUAACACAUGCAAGUCGAGCGGGCCCUUCGGGGUCAGCGGCGGACGGGUGAGUAACGCGUGGGAACGUGCCUUCUGGUUCGGAAUAACUCAGGGAAACUUGAGCUAAUACCGGAUACGCCCUUUUGGGGAAAGGUUUACUGCCGGAAGAUCGGCCCGCGUGUGAUUAGCUAGUUGGUGGGGUAACGGCCUACCAAGGCGACGAUAAGUAGCUGGUCUGAGAGGAUGAUCAGCCACACUGGGACUGAGACACGGCCCAGACUCCUACGGGAGGCAGCAGUGGGGAAUAUUGGACAAUGGGCGCAAGCCUGAUCCAGCCAUGCCGCGUGAGUGAUGAAGGCCUUAGGGUUGUAAAGCUCUUUUAUCCGGGACGAUAAUGACGGUACCGGAGGAAUAAGCCCCGGCUAACUUCGUG